rnacentral:rRNA from 1 species
UACGUAGGGUGCGAGCGUUGUCCGGAAUUAUUGGGCGUAAAGGGCUCGUAGGCGGUUUGUCGCGUCGGGAGUGAAAUCCACUGGCUUAACUGGUGGCUUGCUUUCGAUACGGGCAGACUGGAGGUAUGCAGGGGAGAACGGAAUUCCUGGUGUAGCGGUGAAAUGCGCAGAUAUCAGGAGGAACACCGGUGGCGAAGGCGGUUCUCUGGGCCUCACCUGACGCUGAGGAGCGAAAGCGUGGGGAGCGAACAGG